AUAGGGAGUCGGGCCUGCCCAGUGAAAAAAUAUUAAACGGCCGCGGUACUCUGACCGUGCGAAGGUAGCAUAAUCAUUUGCCCUAUAAUUGAGGGCUAGUAUGAAUGGUUUGACAAGAAUAAAACUGUCUCUUUUCAAUUUUAUAGAAUUUUAUUUCUAGGUGAAGAAGCCUAGAUAUAAUUAAAAGACAAGAAGACCCUAUCGAGCUUAAAAGAAAUAAUAGACUUUAGAAAAUUAAUAAAAAACAAUAGCUAUUAAAUAUUUUGGUUGGGGCGACCAAGGAACAAAUAAAGCUUCCUGCAUUUGAAAUUAACUUAUUAGUUUUGAUCCAGAAAUUUUGAUUAAAAAAAUUAGUUACCGUAGGGAUAACAGCAUUAUCUUUUUUAAGAGCUCAUAUCGAAAAAAAGGUUUGUGACCUCGAUGUUGGACCAGAAUAUCCUAAAGAUGUAGCAGUCUUUAAGGGU
rnacentral:rRNA from 1 species